UAUGUGAUCGUCUCUCGCAUAUCAAUAAGCGGAGGAAAAGAAACUAACAAGGAUUCCCCUAGUAACGGCGAGUGAAGCGGGAAGAGCUCAAAUUUGAAAUCUUAAAGGGUUUCCCUUUACGAAUUGUAGUUUAAAGAAGUGUUUUCUGUUGAGGUUUUGGUAAAAGUUCUUUGGAAUAGGACAUCAUAGAGGGUGAGAAUCCCGUAUUUGACCUUUACUUUCAACUUUGUGAUACACUUUCAAAGAGUCGGAUUGUUUGGGAAUGCAGUCCAAAAUGGGUGGUAAAUUUCAUCUAAAGCUAAAUAUUGGCGAGAGACCGAUAGCGAACAAGUACCGUGAGGGAAAGAUGAAAAGAACUUUGAAAAGAGAGUUAAACAGUACGUGAAAUUGUCAAAAGGGAAGCGUUUGACACCAGUGUUGUUUUUCUGAAAAUCAAUUAAAGAACUGUUUAUGCUAAGUUGUUUAGACUUUAUCAGCUAACUGUUUAGUUUUGAGCUUUUCUUUAAUGCACUUUUCAGUUAACAAGUCAACAUCAAUUUCUUUUGCUGUAAAAAAGCUUGAGGAAGGUGGCUUGAGAUUCGUCUUAAGUGUUUAUAGCCUCUUGCCUAUGCAGUCGGAGAGAUUGAGGUCUGCAGCGUAGAUCCUUCGGGGCUAAAUGCAUUUGUGCUAAGUUAUAGCAUUUUAUAGACAACUUGUUGACUAUGAUUUGUCUUGUAGCUUACUCGCUUAUGUUAUUUUACCUACGCUUAGGAUGUUGACAGCAGUAUAGACUGU
rnacentral:rRNA from 1 species